GAUGAACGCUGGCGGCGUGCUUAACACAUGCAAGUCGAGCGAGAAGUUUCGAAAAGAUUCUUCGGAUGGAAUGUCAAAUGGAAAGCGGCGGACGGGUGAGUAACGCGUAGGCAACCUGCCCCCUACAAAGGGAUAGCACUUGGAAAGGAAUAUUAAUACCGUAUGAUACUUAACUAGUGCAUGCUAGGUAGGUCAAAGAUUUAUCGGUGUUGGAUGGGCCUGCGUGUGAUUAGCUAGUUGGUGAGGUAACGGCUCACCAAGUGGACGAUAAGUGGCCGGCCUGGGAGGCUGAACAGAUUGGUUGGGACUGAGACACGGUACAAACACCGGCGGGAGGAGGCAGGGGGGAUGAUCAAUAGAUGGAGGAAUGACUGAGGCAGGAAGGGCGCGGGAAGAAGGACUGCCUUUGGGUAACAGAGUUCUCUUCUAACGAAGGAUGAGUGACGGUAACCGAUAAAAAAGCACCGGCUAACUACGUG
rnacentral:rRNA from 1 species